CUACGGGUUGCUCCAGUGGGGAAUAUUGCACAAUGGAGGAAACUCUGAUGCAGCAACGCCGCGUAGAGGAUGACACUUUUCGGAGCGUAAACUCCUUUUAUAUAGGAAGAAGAUGACGGUACUAUAUGAAUAAGCGCCGGCUAACUCCGUGCCAGCAGCCGCGGUAAUACGGAGGGCGCAAGCGUUACUCGGAAUCACUGGGCGUAAAGAGCGUGUAGGCGGAUUAAAAAGUCAGAAGUGAAAUCCUAUAGCUUAACUAUAGAACUGCUUCUGAAACUCUUAAUCUAGAAUAUGGGAGAGGUAGAUGGAAUUUCUGGUGUAGGGGUAAAAUCCGUAGAGAUCAGAAGGAAUACCAAUUGCGAAGGCGAUCUACUAGAACAUUAUUGACGCUGAGACGCGAAAGCGUGGGGAGCAAACAGGAUUAGAUACCCCAGUAGUC
rnacentral:rRNA from 1 species